rnacentral:lncRNA from 1 species
AUUUACAGUUUUGAAGCAUGUAUUUUUAUACUUAGGCAUACGUGCCCACUGAGUACUUUUGUACUCAGCCCUGCAUAUAUUUCUAAAUGUGCAGGUUGAGUAGCUGUCGAUGGUGAUGAAGUGACGACCGGAGUCUUUUGUCUUAUCCUUAUGUAUUAAUGAACUCUGGGGAUACAUGUCUUCAUACAUGUAAUCAGAACCUUAUUCCGCUGCGUACUCAGAAGUUUUAUGUUAUUUUGGCUAAGUCGGAGUUAUCCGAACUUACUAGUUAUUUGAGUCUAUACGACUAAAUCUCCGUUAUAUUAUAAAUAUCCCUUUUGUUAACAAUGAUGAAAUGCGAUCCUUCCUUGUUUGAUUAUCCCCCUUUCUACCCCGC